UACAGAGGUGGCAAGCGUUGCUCGGUAUCACUGGGCUUAAAGGGCGCGUAGGCGGUGCGGUACGGUUUCGGUGAAAUCCCUCGGCCCAACCGAGGAACAGCCGGGGCUACGGCCGCGCUAGACGGCAUCAGGGGACAGUGGAACUCCCGGUGGAGCGGUGAAAUGCGUAGAUAUCGGGAGGAACGCCGGUGGCGAAAGCGACUGUCUGGGGUGCCUGUGACGCUGAGGCGCGAAAGCCAGGGGAUCAAACGGGAUUAGAAACCCUAGUAGU
rnacentral:rRNA from 1 species